rnacentral:lncRNA from 1 species
CAGAAGUUGAUCCUGCCACGUCCACUGGAGAGGCAAAAAGGAGUCCAAAAGUCCUUGAGGCUACAUCUUACCGCCCCACCCCCAGCUCAGACAACAAGCCUGUGACCCAGAAGCGAGCAUCUCAUCUCUCCUUGAUUAGACUUUCCAGAGACUGCACUCCCAGCUCUUGUGUCCACCCAAGAAGAAACCAAGGCCAGGACAUUGGCUCCCCAGUCUAUAAAUAGAGGUUCACAGAGACAAUGAAGGCAGUUAUGGCGGUGUCAGCCUCUUAGUCUUUCCAUGUAGAGAAAAUGUGCGACUUCCCAAACGUUUAUUUCUCAAGUGGCAACCAACCGUUUCUUUCCAAUAAGCUUUGAAUAUCACCACGAGGCUCAC